UGGUGGAGUGAUUUGUCUGCCUAAUCGCGAUAACGAACGAGACCUUAACCUGCUAAAUAGCCCGUAUUGCCUCGGCAGUACGCUGGCUUCUUAGAGGGACUAUCGGCUCAAGCCGAUGGAAGUUUGAGGCAAUAACA
rnacentral:rRNA from 1 species